CAUAACUGACGCUGAGGAGCGAAAGCGUGGGUAGCAAACAGGAUUAGAUACCCUGGUAGUCCACGCCCUAAACGAUGGAUGCUAGUUGUUGUGGUGCUUGCACUGCAGUAAUUCAGCUAACGCAUUAAGCAUCCCGCCUGGGGAGUACGGUCGCAAGAUUAAAACUCAAAGGAAUAGACGGGGACCCGCACAAGCGGUGGAGCAUGUGGUUUAAUUCGAAGAUACACGAAGAACCUUACCUGGUCUUGACAUUGAUAGAAUCUGCUAGAGAUAGCGGAGUGCCCGCAAGGGAGCUUGAAAACAGGUGCUGCAUGGCUGUCGUCAGCUCGUGUCGUGAGAUGUUGGGUUAAGUCCCGCAACGAGCGCAACCCUCGUUUUUAGUUGCUAACAGUUCGGCUGAGCACUCUAAAAAGACUGCCUUCGUAAGAAGGAGGAAGGUGAGGACGACGUCAAGUCAUCACGGCCCUUACGACCAGGGCUACACACGUGCUACAAUGGUGUAUACAAAGAGACGCAAUACCGUGAGGUGGAGCAAAUCUUAUAAAAUACAUCUCAGUUCGGAUUGUAGUCUGCAACUCGACUACAUGAAGCUGGAAUCGCUAGUAAUCGUAGAUCAGCUAUGCUACGGUGAAUACGUUCCCGGGUCUUGUACACACCGCCCGU
rnacentral:rRNA from 1 species